rnacentral:rRNA from 1 species
CCUACGGAGGGCAGCAGUGAGGAAUAGUGGUCAAUGGGCGGACGCCUGAACCAGCCAAGUCGCGUGAGGGAUUAAGGCCCUAUGGGUCGUACACCUCUUUUGUCAGGGCGCCAUGGCGUCCACGUGUGGGCGUAUGGAGAGUACCUGAAGAAAAAGCAUCGGCUAACUCCGUGCCAGCAGCCGCGGUAAUACGGAGGAUGCGAGCGUUAUCCGGAUUUAUUGGGUUUAAAGGGUGCGCAGGCGGUCUGUUAAGUCAGCGGUCAAAGCUCGGGGCUCAACCCCGGCCUGCAGUUGAAACUGGCAGUCUCGAGUUGGAGAGAAGUAUGCGGAAUGCGCGGUGUAGCGGUGAAAUGCAUAGAUAUCGCGCAGAACUCCGAUUGCGAAUGCAGCAUGCCGGCUCCACACUGACGCUGAGGCACGAAAGCGUGGGUAUCGAACAGGAUUAGAUACCCUGGUAGUC